rnacentral:rRNA from 1 species
ACCGGCGGCCCGAGUGGUGAUCGUGAUUAUUGGGUCUAAAGGGUCCGUAGCCGGUUUGGUCAGUCCUCCGGGAAAUCUGAUAGCUCAACUAUUAGGCUUUCGGGGGAUACUGCCAGACUUGGAACCGGGAGAGGUAAGAGGUACUACAGGGGUAGGAGUGAAAUCUUGUAAAUCCCUGUGGGACCACCUGUAGGCGAAGGCGUCUUACCAGAACGGGUUCGACGGUGAGGGACGAAAGCUGGGGGCACGAACCGGAUUAGAUACCCGGGUAGUCCCAGCCGUAAACGAUGCUCGCUAGGUGUCAGGCAUGGCGCGACCGUGUCUGGUGCCGCAGGGAAGCCGUGAAGCGAGCCACCUGGGAAGUACGGCCGCAAGGCUGAAACUUAAAGGAAUUGGCGGGGGAGCACAACAACGGGUGGAAGCCUGCGGUUUAAUUGGACUCAACGCCGGACAACUCACCGGGGGCGACAGCAAUAUGUAGGCCAAGCUGAAGACUUUGCCUGAAUCGCUGAGGGGAGGUGCAUGG